AGCCAGACCCUCUUGUUUGUUAUGGACAGAAGACUAUUUACAUCAUUAAAUUAAAGCCCUCCUCUGCGGCUGUCAAUCAUUCAGUAUUCAAAUAGCGCGCACCUCGUCCAUUUACAGCAGGAUGUAUGAAGGAAAACUUAUUCUGGAACAACAGUGUGUGCUGUGAGAUGAGAACAGAGACACACUGAGCUUUAACCACUAACCAUCGACCAACUGCUGACUGAUGAGAAAACAUCAUUAGCUUCUGAGAGACAAAGACAAACUGAACCACAGUGAUCUGAACUGAAGACAGCGACUGUAACACAUUUCAGUUUCAUUCAGCAACAUGAACGGUGAAAAUCAGACCUGGAUAGGUGAGCACAGUUAUUAUUUUGAUACUGGUUAUUAUUACAAUAUUACUGAUUAUCUGAUUGUUGAAACUCAAAUAUAUGAUUCUUCAGAUAUCAUAAGGAGUAUCUU